CCUACGUGAUCUGAGUUCAGACCGGAGUAAUCCAGGUCAGUUUCUAUCUAUAAGAAGGCUUCUCUAGUACGAAAGGACCGAAAAGACAUAGCCAAUGCCCUAGCAAGCUAUACUCAUCAACUUAUGACCCCAACUUAAUAAUAAAAUAGUUCAACACCUAGCCUAAGAAAAAGGCA
rnacentral:rRNA from 1 species